AAAUUGAAGAGUUUGAUCAUGGCUCAGAUUGAACGCUGGCGGCAGGCCUAACACAUGCAAGUCGAGCGGUAACACAGAGAGCUUGCUCUCGGGUGACGAGCGGCGGACGGGUGAGUAAUGUCUGGGAAACUGCCUGAUGGAGGGGGAUAACUACUGGAAACGGUAGCUAAUACCGCAUAACGUCGCAAGACCAAAGUGGGGGACCUUCGGGCCUCAUGCCAUCAGAUGUGCCCAGAUGGGAUUAGCUAGUAGGUGGGGUAAUGGCUCACCUAGGCGACGAUCCCUAGCUGGUCUGAGAGGAUGACCAGCCACACUGGAACUGAGACACGGUCCAGACUCCUACGGGAGGCAGCAGUGGGGAAUAUUGCACAAUGGGCGCAAGCCUGAUGCAGCCAUGCCGCGUGUAUGAAGAAGGCCUUCGGGUUGUAAAGUACUUUCAGCGAGGAGGAAGGCAUUAAGGUUAAUAACCUUGGUGAUUGACGUUACUCGCAGAAGAAGCACCGGCUAACUCCGUGCCAGCAGCCGCGGUAAUACGGAGGGUGCAAGCGUUAAUCGGAAUUACUGGGCGUAAAGCGCACGCAGGCGGUCUGUCAAGUCGGAUGUGAAAUCCCCGGGCUCAACCUGGGAACUGCAUUCGAAACUGGCAGGCUAGAGUCUUGUAGAGGGGGGUAGAAUUCCAGGUGUAGCGGUGAAAUGCGUAGAGAUCUGGAGGAAUACCGGUGGCGAAGGCGGCCCCCUGGACAAAGACUGACGCUCAGGUGCGAAAGCGUGGGGAGCAAACAGGAUUAGAUACCCUGGUAGUCCACGCCGUAAACGAUGUCGACUUGGAGGUUGUGCCCUUGAGGCGUGGCUUCCGGAGCUAACGCGUUAAGUCGACCGCCUGGGGAGUACGGCCGCAAGGUUAAAACUCAAAUGAAUUGACGGGGGCCCGCACAAGCGGUGGAGCAUGUGGUUUAAUUCGAUGCAACGCGAAGAACCUUACCUACUCUUGACAUCCAGAGAACUUAGCAGAGAUGCUUUGGUGCCUUCGGGAACUCUGAGACAGGUGCUGCAUGGCUGUCGUCAGCUCGUGUUGUGAAAUGUUGGGUUAAGUCCCGCAACGAGCGCAACCCUUAUCCUUUGUUGCCAGCGAUUCGGUCGGGAACUCAAAGGAGACUGCCAGUGAUAAACUGGAGGAAGGUGGGGAUGACGUCAAGUCAUCAUGGCCCUUACGAGUAGGGCUACACACGUGCUACAAUGGCAUAUACAAAGAGAAGCGACCUCGCGAGAGCAAGCGGACCUCAUAAAGUAUGUCGUAGUCCGGAUUGGAGUCUGCAACUCGACUCCAUGAAGUCGGAAUCGCUAGUAAUCGUAGAUCAGAAUGCUACGGUGAAUACGUUCCCGGGCCUUGUACACACCGCCCGUCACACCAUGGGAGUGGGUUGCAAAAGAAGUAGGUAGCUUAACCUUCGGGAGGGCGCUUACCACUUUGUGAUUCAUGACUGGGGUGAAGUCGUAACAAGGUAACCGUAGGGGAACCUGCGGUUGGAUCACCUCCUUA
rnacentral:rRNA from 2 species